UACUGAGUGGCAGACGGGUGAGUAACAUGUGGGAAUCUGCCUUGUGGUUCAGGACAACGUUGGGAAACCGAUGCUAAUACUGGAUAAGCCCUUACGGGGAAAGUUUUAAUGCCAUAAGAUGAGCCCGCAUUAGAUUAGUUAGUUGGUGAGGUAAUGGCUCACCAAGACAAUGAUCAAUAGCUGAUCUGAGAGGAUGAUCAGCCACACUAGGACUGAGAUACGGCCCAGACUCCUACGGGGGGCAGCAAUUAGGAAUCUUGCGCAAUGGGGGAAACCCUGACGCAGCGACGUCGCGUGAAGGAUGAAGGCCCUCGGGUCGUAAACUUCUUUUGAGUGGGAAGAAAUUUGACGGUACCACUCGAAUAAGCCCCGGCUAACUACGUGCCAGCAGCCGCGGUAAUACGUAGGGGGCGAGCGUUGUCCGAAGUUACUGGGCGUAAAGCGCGCGUAGGCGGUUAUUUAAGUCUGGGGUGAAAGGUUCAGCGCUCAACGUGAACAGUGC
rnacentral:rRNA from 1 species